CCUACGGGAGGCAGCAGUGGGGGAUAUUGCACAAUGGGGGAAACCCUGAUGCAGCGACGCCGCGUGGGUGAAGAAGCGCCUCGGCGCGUAAAGCCCUGUCAGCAGGGAAGAAAAUGACGGUACCUGAAGAAGAAGCCCCGGCUAACUACGUGCCAGCAGCCGCGGUAAUACGUAGGGGGCAAGCGUGAUCCGGAUUUACUGGGUGUAAAGGGGGCGCAGACGGCGAUGCAAGCCAGGAGUGAAAGCCCGGGGCCCAACCCCGGGACUGCUCUUGGAACUGCGUGGCUAGAGUGCAGGAGGGGCAGGCGGAAUUCCUGGGGUAGCGGUGAAAUGCGUAGAUAUCAGGAGGAACACCGGUGGCGAAGGCGGCCUGCUGGACUGCAACUGACGUUGAGGCCCGAAAGCGUGGGGAGCAAACAGGAUUAGAGACCCCAGUAGUC
rnacentral:rRNA from 1 species